rnacentral:rRNA from 1 species
GAUGAACGCUGGCGGCGUGCCUAAUACAUGCAAGUCGAGCGAACAGACGAGGAGCUUGCUCCUCUGACGUUAGCGGCGGACGGGUGAGUAACACGUGGAUAACCUACCUUUAAGACUGGGAUAACUUCGGGAAACCGGAGCUAAUACCGGAUAAUAUAUUGAACCGCAUGGUUCAAUAGUGAAAGACGGUUUUGCUGUCACUUAUACAUGGUUCCGGGCCGGAUUAGCUAGUUGGUAAGGUAACGGCUUACCAAGGCAACGAUGCGUAGCCGACCUGAGAGGGUGAUCGGCCACACUGGAACUGAGACACGGUCCAGACUCCUACGGGAGGCAGCAGUAGGGAAUCUUCCGCAAUGGGCGAAAGCCUGACGGAGCAACGCCGCGUGAGUGAUGAAGGUCUUCGGAUCGUAAAACUCUGUUAUUAGGGAAGAAGAAAUGUGUAAGUAACUAUGCACGUCUUGACGGUACCUAAUCAGAAAGCCACGGCUAACUACGUG